rnacentral:rRNA from 1 species
AUUGAACGCUGGCGGCAUGCUUUACACAUGCAAGUCGGACGGCAGCACAGAGAAGCUUGCUUCUUGGGUGGCGAGUGGCGAACGGGUGAGUAACAUAUCGGAACGUACCAGCAGUGGGGGAUAACUAAUCGAAAGAUUAGCUAAUACCGCAUAUAUUCUGAGGAAGAAAGCAGGGGACCAUUUGGCCUUGCGCUGUUUGAGCGGCCGAUAUCUGAUUAGCUAGUUGGUGGGGUAAAGGCCUACCAAGGCGACGAUCAGUAGCGGGUCUGAGAGGAUGAUCCGCCACACUGGGACUGAGACACGGCCCAGACUCCUACGGGAGGCAGCAGUGGGGAAUUUUGGACAAUGGGCGCAAGCCUGAUCCAGCCAUGCCGCGUGUCUGAAGAAGGCCUUCGGGUUGUAAAGGACUUUUGUCAGGGAAGAAAAGGGCGGGGUUAAUACCCCUAUCUGAUGACGGACCUGAAGAA